GACGAACGCUAGCGGCGUGCCUAAUGUAUGCAAGUCGAGCGGGGUAAGAGACUUGUCUCUUAUUCAGCGGCAAACGGUUGAGUAACACGUAGGCAACCUGCCCCAGAGACGGGGAUAGCCCGCCGAAAGGCGGAUUAAUACCGGAUGUGGCCGGAGGGGACAUCCCCUCUGUGCUAAAGGGAGCAAUCCGCUCUGGGAUGGGCCUGCGGCCUAUCAGCUAGUUGGUGAGGUAACGGCUCACCAAGGCGACGACGGGUAGCUGGUCUGAGAGGAUGGUCAGCCAGACAGGGACUGAGACACGGCCCUGACUCCUUUGGGGGCAGCAAUGAGGGAUAUUGCACAAUGGGCGAAAGCCUGAUGCAGCGACGCCGCGU
rnacentral:rRNA from 1 species